AUUGAACGCUGGCGGCAGGCCUAACACAUGCAAGUCGAGCGGAGCGGCGGACGGGUGAGUAAUGCCUAGGAAUCUGCCUGGUAGUGGGGGAUAACGUCCGGAAACGGGCGCUAAUACCGCAUACUAUCAGAUGAGCCUAGGUCGGAUUAGCUAGUUGGUGGGGUAAAGGCCUACCAGGGCGACGAUCCGUAACUGGUCUGAGAGGAUGAUCAGUCACACUGGAACUGAGAAACGGCCCAGACUCCUACGGGAGGCAGCAGGGGGGAAUAUUGCACAAUGGGCGCAAGCCUGAUGCAGCCAUGCAGCGUGUAGGAAGAAGGCUUUAGGGUUGUAAAGCACUUUAAUUUGGGAGGCGUUACCAGCAGAAGAAGCACCGGCUAACUACGUGCCAGCAGCCGCGGUAAUAC
rnacentral:rRNA from 1 species